rnacentral:rRNA from 1 species
GACGAACGCUGGCGGCGUGCCUAAUACAUGCAAGUAGAACGCUGAAGGAGGAGCUUGCUUCUCUGGAUGAGUUGCGAACGGGUGAGUAACGCGUAGGUAACCUGCCUGGUAGCGGGGGAUAACUAUUGGAAACGAUAGCUAAUACCGCAUAAUAGCAGUUGUUGCAUGACAACUGUUUGAAAGGUGCAAUUGCACCACUACCAGAUGGACCUGCGUUGUAUUAGCUAGUUGGUGGGGUAACGGCUCACCAAGGCGACGAUACAUAGCCGACCUGAGAGGGUGAUCGGCCACACUGGGACUGAGACACGGCCCAGACUCCUACGGGAGGCAGCAGUAGGGAAUCUUCGGCAAUGGACGGAAGUCUGACCGAGCAACGCCGCGUGAGUGAAGAAGGUUUUCGGAUCGUAAAGCCCUGUUGUAAGAGAAGAACGAGUGUGAGAGUGGAAAGUUCACACUGUGACGGUAUCUUACCAGAAAGGGACGGCUAACUACGU